rnacentral:tRNA from 1 species
UCCCUGAUGGUCUAGUGGUCAGAAUUCGGCGCUCUCACCGCUGCGGGCUGGGUUCGAUUCCCGGUCAGGGAA